rnacentral:rRNA from 1 species
CGCGUAGGCGGUCUGCUAAGCGUGUGGUGAAAGCUCGGGCUCAACCCCGAGUCUGCCAUGCGAACUGGUGGACUUGAGCACUGUAGAGGCAGGUGGAAUUCCGGGUGUAGCGGUGGAAUGCGUAGAGAUCCGGAAGAACACCAGUGGCGAAGGCGGCCUGCUGGGCAGUUGCUGACGCUGAGGCGCGCAGCGUGGGAGCAAAC